GGUAAUGACCCUUAGAGAAUAUUUGCAAAAUCUUUUUAAUUUUUGAUUGUAUUUAUCUUAUUGUUCUUAGGUAAAAUAUGGGAAUGUUAUACUCUUGGAGUAUUGUACGCAGUACUGAAGAUCGUAUCUCCAGAAGGAUAUCGAUACUUUAGAGAGAGUUCAGAGAAGGGCUACUAAACUGGUUCAAGGAUUGUAGGAGAAAACUUACCAGGAAAGGUUUAAG